UAAAAUGUCCAUUAAUCACUUCAUAAACCAAGUCCAAUUCUUCACUCCCAAAACCCUAAUUUCAAAUUUCAAAACUUAAUCAAUUAAAUUCCUAUCACUUCUCAUGCCUAUAACCUCAUCAAUCAUCAUCACUAAUCAUGUAUAUAUGCAGGAAUUCAUCAAACCCCAUAAGGUUCCCAAGGCUGCUGAAUUAGGGAUGUUU
rnacentral:misc_RNA from 1 species